rnacentral:lncRNA from 1 species
GUUGUUUUGCCUUUGAAAUUUCUCUCUCUCUCUCUCUCUCUCUCUCUCUCUCUCUCUCUCUCUCUCUCUCACACACACACACACACUCACCAUCCCCUUAUGAAAUUCGACCCUGUUUAUCAGGGUCUGGCGCGCGCCUUUUGCUCUUUAACGUUUCACUUAUUUCAGGCUUGAUGGUGGUGGGGAACAGGGAGAAAAACACAAUCCCCCAAACCUCACUAGCUCCCCUCAAGGGUUAAAUUUUAAACCGCUUUUUCUCGGACAAGCCCGGAAACCCGGGGUGUAGGGGGAUUGCUCACAAUUGCAAAUGCUAAUAAGUAGUUCAAUUUUUUAGAUCGAUUCUUUAAAGCUGGAGAGAGAGAGAGAGAGAGAGAGAGAGAGAGAGAGAGAGAGAGAGAGAGAGAGAAGCAAGAGAGUAAAGGGAAGAAACCGACAAUUCUUUUCUAAGAUUUUAAAGCGAUAGGCAAGUUGGAGGAGCCGAGAUUUAUUUGGGGGUAAGCAAGGUUGUGGGAAGCCGACCCAUAUUUGAAAGUCCAGCCCACCUGCUUGGUAGUUGGGACUGUUGAUUCCAGCUAUUAAUGAAAUGCACUUGGUGUUAAUCGAAUUUUUUUUAACUUUAUGGGAGGGACACACACACACACACACACACACACACACACUCACUCACAAAUUAUGAAAAGCCUGCAAAAGAUCGAAGAGUGAAAACUAUUGUUGGACCGAGUUGGUUUUUACCUCAACAGCGCCACCUUUCGGCAAAGGUCAGUUGAAAUUGAUCCGUGUCCAGUUUUGUUGAAGUGCAAAGAAGCUGUUUUCCCAAAGUGGGAGGAGGAAAGAGGCCCAGAAAGUUAGAUGGACCUUCGUGGUAGAGCUCAACCUUUUAAGAAAUGGGACGAAGAAAGUGCUAGCAAAUCCCGGAAUCAUAUUUUUCCUACUGUCUUGUCCCCCUUCACUGUUAAAAAAAAGAGGCGAGGGCAACUGCUGCCCUGCGGGUGGGAUUCUGGCUGAGAGACCUUUGCAAAUCAGAUCCCAGGUAACUGGGCCCCAAACUCUCUAAAAGUGGCAGGAUGGAUUUUCCAUGGGCUUUAUGGCAAUAUCAAUAGAAUUAAAGUUACUUGUAAUUCAGUGAUAAAUGGGAUGUCUCUAGUAAGUAAGAUUAAGUACAGUGCUUUAAAGUUGUUUAUCUGAAAAGUAAUUCUCAGAAAACCUGACUUCUGACACUUGGUCAUAUAUUAAGCCAGCGUCUUGAACAUUGCACUUCAGAAUAGUCUUACCCACCAGGUCGCAUACUUCACUAUUUAUAAUGAGACUUAGUGUCACUCCCCUGCUUCAUACACCAGAUUAACCCUGUGUUAAUUUCUCUGAUCUUGGCAGCCUUCGGUUCCAGCAAAUUCAGGAAUCCCUACUGGGAGACCUCCCAGAAGAUUUGUAGGGACAUCCUCAUCCUAAAAGGGCAGCACUGUUGGUAUUUUCCUUACAAGCCUGCUACAGAGGAGUUGUUUAUAAGGGUAGUUUGGGUUUGAGGGAAUGCUUUGUUAGGGUGGAAUGAACUGGGUUUAGUCCCAGUAUGGGAAGAAAGAGUGAAGAUUCUAUCAAUAUUUAUGUCAUCUAAGAUAAUUCCCUUGCUUUCCUCCUCUGACAGUAUUUUACCUACUAAUGAAGUUAAAGGAUUUCAGUUUAUGUAUUCAGAGGAAAAUCCACUGCUUAAAUUUCACAAACAUUAUGGUGUUCAGCAUUGUUCAUGAUGUCCAAAGUUUGUGUGUGUGUGUGUGUGUGUGUGUUAAAUGUAGAUUUAUGUGUCCUUGGGAAGAAUUAAUUAUUUUUUGUUUAUGAUAAUUUUUAAAACUCCUUCUGCAUCAUGUUUUUGUUAAAAGCUAUAAAGUAUGAUCCCUGCCUCUCAAAAUAAAAGUAUUUUUGACCAGGAACCCUGAAGCUGCCACAUUUAUAAAUAAACAUUUUAUAAACAGAAUUCACUAAUGACUAAGACCAUGCCAUAGAGUUUCGUGGCCACAUACCUAAUUGUUGCAAUUAUAUAUCAUUUCUAGAAAUUAAAUGCCCAUGUUUGGGCAGCUAAAUGUAUUAUUAUCUGCACAUUUUUUAUGGUUUAUUUCUGUUCACCACUGUUGAGCCGUGGUAUUUUUCUCCCUUUUAUAGUCUCCCAUUUUCUUUUGAAAAAAGAGGAUGAGAAUUAUGUUUUAGAUGUGUAUCAAGAGUGCUCUCAGGCUUGUAACUUAAUUCUCAUUUUUGUCCUUUUUCCUUUAUUAUUUAGUGAUUCACAGGGGUGUCUAAACAUUUACAGUUCUCUGUUAGCAGCAUUUCUUUUAUAACAAUUGAGCAAUCUCAUUUUAAUUAGUACUAUUCAGGUUUCUGAUUCUCUACAAUUACAUCAGGCCACGUUUCUUUCGACUUCUUUUCUAACAUUGUUUGUUUCACUUCCAUCCAAGCCAAUCUAAUCCAAAUACAAUAUGAACUGUGUUUUCUUACUGCUUAAUAUCCCCUCGCUUUAUAUGCUAUAGCAAUCUCUGUAGAACAAUAUAGAGUAAUUUAGAAACCAUGAGUUUGUCAUUAUUGACCAAUUCAAACCAGUAGCAUUAAAGUUUCUGAAAGCAAUGAGUAUUUAUAGAAAAUUCUGAGGGGGAGGAGGGCAUGGGUCGAAUCACGUAGAAGAUUUCGAAACAGUAGCCUCAAAAACUCAUUUGUAGUUUCAUGUCACUACAUACAUAACAACUUCAUGCAAAAGAGGGAGAAAAGCCCUUCAUGUCUACAUUACAAAGAUUAAAAGUUAACAGGAAGGUAUUUUUCCUGAUUGUGAGUUAUAGCAACUCAAAUAUAUCAUGUUGCCUCAGACGUACAGAAUCUGAAAAGAAACAGGAUGCAUUCAGAAUCGCGUCUGAACUCUUUGUUUAUCUGGGAGCUGGUUUUAUGUACAGAACUAAGCAGUGUCCACUAAAUUUUACUAUGAAACCAACUAAAUGGAUUUGAGAAAGUGUUCCUGAGAGUAGUUGCAGGAUAAGGCAGGAGUACAUUGUGCUUAGGUCUAGUGUUAGAUAAAUCCUUUUAACAGUCUUCAGUUAGCAGGGUAAGUAAAUCACAAAUCACUGUUAGCAGAUUCAUGGAAGAAAAUUAAUAGAAUCAGACGAGAUAAUCUGAUAAGGGUAAAAUUGCCGAGGGAAGUCUCUAUUGGCGAAUGUGAAACAACAGUGUGAUUACCAGGAGUCGUUAUGAAUAGGUGAAUUAUGUGCUAAAUAAUCAUCAGAGUAAUUCAGCAUUUAUUAAUUCUUUUCUCUUUAAGCAAUUCACAGUUGUAAGUUAAAGCCUCUCUCUCUCUUUGAAGACAAAUCUUUUAUAAUUUUUAUUAGAGGUAAUUUAUUAUUUGCAUUACCUGUAUUUACUUCAUAAUUGAACAUUUUGCAUUCAAAUUUAUGUAAUGCAUUAUGCUUGAGAAUAUAUUUCUGCCUGAUUAGCAUAAAUAGUCACUUACCUCAUGAAUUACUAACAAAGUUUAUCUUAAAAUAUAGGUUUUUUUAUUAAGUGGAACACAAACAUAUGUACAAUAAAUUCUGAUUUUUCCAGUGCCGUUAGAGAACAACUCAUGUUCGGUUACAGAGAAGCAAGGGGUGGGAUAGUGGGGAGAAAGAAAAAUAGUCAGACGAGACUUAUAGUUCCUUCCCAAGGGUGUUGCUCAGGUGGGGACCGUGGAGAGGGGUAGGGAGGAAGGACAGAAGGGGCAGCUCGGCUCUUCAGACACAGGAUUAUUUAUUGGAUGAUCUUGACUCUAAAUGAGGAGUCCAAAAGACAAACAAAAGACAAUUGGUGAUCUCUACUCUGUGGAGGGCCAGGGUAGACAGUCAAUAGGAUUGAUGGUGUUUGGGGAUAUUUUAUUAUUUUUAUUUUUAUUUUUUUGGUUAUUCUCAGGGUUCUUCCUUAAAACACGAUUCACACAAUUUCAUGAAAUACUUGUUUUGCACAAGAGACGCGAACAAUCCAGAUGUUUUCUGGGAAGGUGUGCCGGUUUUGUCAGCUCUCUUUCCUUGCUUCACCCACAGACACCCAGCAGGCACUGGGAGAUAGUAAGUGUCUGCUGAAUAAAUAUCUGUGGGGACACAGGGACAUUGGAGCCAAAGGACUUUUUCUGGUUUUAAGCAAGGGAUAGAGAUGAAAAAUGAUGGGCCCUAUUUCCCCACUCUGGCCACUCCAACCCUGCAUUUCCAUGCUCGGCUCUCUUUCCCUUUCAGUUUUUCAGGGGAAGGCGCACCCUUAGGUUUUUGUUCCUUCAAUUAGGGGCUGCUUAUGAUUCCCUCUUCCCUUGUCACCCCUUUGGAUCCUAUUCACAGCUUACACCAGUGAGGGAAUCUGUCACCAAAGCAUUCAGCGCUUCGAAGAAUUUUAUUGUGUACUCAGAGUUGAUUAAAAAAAAAAAAGUAGAGAUCUAAAAAAAGUGGGGGGGACCUGAUAGCCGAACAAUCUUUCUGUGUGUUGUGUCUUCACGCAUGAUAACUGGAGGAUCGCUCCGAAGUGGUGCUUGCUCUGUGAGUUUGCUUGCCUGCCUUCCUGCUCCUGGUGAUGUGGCGAUUCGAACCUCCUGUUCUAGAAGCUUUUAGCAGCUGUCCCACUUGGGAAAGAAGUUAUAGAAAAUACAGGGCAAACUUAAAUUCUCCCGUGAUGACAGGGGAGGUCUAUGGAUGCAGGUGGUUUCUGAAUCUGUCUGUUUCUGAAUUAACUUGUCUGGGGCCUGAGACCAGAGGUCCCUUAUAGCCCAGUCUUAUGUCUUAGUUCUUGGUCGCACAUGAGCGUGGCUGAGCUUUCUCCCGUGUUGUUCUUUGUCAUGAAAAUCUUGCACAGGCCCAGCCACAGCCUCAGAACAUCGGCCUUCCCAACCGUGUUCCUGAUCUAACCAAGAAUGAAAAUUUGACUAACAGCUCUGCCUACCCAAAAUAAAAAUUCAAGUCACACUUAUAGACCUUCUGAUAGUAUUGUUAUUUAGGAAUUUUAUAAUAGUGAGACAUGUUCUUUGUUGAAUAUAAAUAUCAGGACAAGAUAGCAAAAGGAGGCCAUCAAACCAAAGAACAGCUGUUCCUCAUCUCUACCCAGCACCUGUCCUUGGUCUCAGGAGUGACCAUCUGAAACUGAUGGGGUGCACACGUUUGCUGUUUUAUAACAGAAUGGAGUCUAAGCAUGUGCAUGGUUCGGAACGCAUCUGCCUGGAUCUCAGGAAAAAGCGUUUGGAGUGCUUAUCUGGUUUUUGGUGGAUUUCAUCUAAUGGAAUCUCAUGGUGUAUGUGUGUGUGUGUGUGUAGGGGGUGGAUAUUUAGAGGCCUGACUGUAGCACUCUCCUUUCAACCAAUGUACAAGUUUGAAUCUGUUUUGCCAGCCCUUGGUAGGUGAGUUGGCAGCAUGCAGGGCUGACUUCACCAGUGGCACAGCAGAGACAGUGGCCCAUGGGACUGCUGUGGGCACCCAGAGACAUUUUGAUUACUUUUAAAACCAGAAAAAAAGAAAAUAUAAUGUAGCAUGGAUUACAUUCAUCAUACCAAUGCAGUCAUAAAACAUAAUUAUAUAUACAUAUAUAUACCUAUGUAUAUAUGUAUAUAUAUGUACAAGGGGCCCAUGGAAGCCAAAGUCCAGAACACACAGAAGUACUUGCCUGAUUCUAACAGCAUUUUCUUGGUCACCUCCAGUGACAGCUCACUACCUGCCAGUUUUACCUGUACUCUCCAUUUGUUUAUUUGUUUUAGCAUGCGGUCUUACCCCUUCGUGUAGAUGUUAGUCCUAUUUUAUAUGCUCAAGAGGCCACACACUCAUGGGAACCGAAUGGGCCACAGGGUCUUUGGGAAGUUGAAAAGAGCCAGUAGGAUGCCCUUUCCCUCCCUUCUGUUUCUCCUGCUAAACAGAGUCAGUGACUUUGGCAUGUCCAGCCAGGUCUGCUUUCUUUCCAGCACCCUGCCUCCUGGCCACUAGUUCCCAGAGAGGCUGGCUUGGCCACUGCCAUGCUCCUCCCAGGAUUCAGGUCCCAUAGCUAAGCCCGGGUGCCCAGGUGUGAUCCUCUCAUCACACAGAGAGCAUGUCUGCCUCCUUGAGCUGCAGUACGUCUGCUCCUGAUGCUUCUAAAUCCCUGAGCCUCUCCAGACACACAGCACCCGGAGCUCAGUGCUGCGCAGUGGAUGUAAACUCUGGGCCUUUUCUCCUCCUAUUUCCUCCAUCCUGGAUUUGUGAACUUACCGUUUGGAACCCAAGCACAGAAAUGUACAAUGAUCUCCAGUAGAUUUAAUUUCAUUUGAUUCAGCCUGAUCCUUGCUUGUCUAUCUCUCUUUGGAUCCAGAAGGUGCUAUUCACUGGUUUUACUUUGCUUCCCAGUUUUGCGCCAGCUGAAAAGCAAUGGAUAUGCUUUUUGUAAGAUGAACCUGUCUUACCCGGGUCCCUCCUCCGUAGAUUGGGAAAUGGUCAGGAUUAGAGACUGGGCCUGGGAAGUGUCUCACACAGUACGGGGCCACAGAGGAGCUGGCCAUCUCCUGCAUCCCUACCAUCCCUCUGGGUUGUGGAUGACAACACUGGAAGUGACCACCCCUCUCAACCCCCAGUGAUCACACAAAGUGACCCACCAGGACAUUCAAGCCUGUCGAUGGAUAUUUUAAAUGGAGACAGCCUACUUGGUAAUUGGGAUAAUUUUAAACUAAAUUUCCCCAUCUGGAUAUCCUGCACAUAUCUUUCUAAUGAAUUCUGAAAUAACUUCACUUUUCCGUAGGGUGGGCAGAGCUCUCUGUUGAACAGGCUGGCUUCCUGGAUAACUGUGUCCCUGUUGAACCUGACUUUGUCUUUGUAAACCCUUUGCCCUGUCAAAAUGCACAUAACAGUUGCCCAAAGUUGGGACCUCAGAGACUGAUAAAAAAUAGAUAAAACCUAAAAAAAAAAAACUCAACAGAAAGGUUCUGUGUACGUAUAAAAGCAAAUUUGAGCUCUGAUUCUUUCCUCUGUGGUUUUUCUCUGGUUUAGAUCACCAACUUCCCUGCCAUUUCCUGAUGCCCAUUUUGAGGCCAAGAAGCUCGGAGGCAUUUCCUGGAACAGAAAAGUUCAGAGUUUCAAGUGUCCACCUUUGAGCUUAGCUAGUCCCCCUGGUCUCUCUUGAAGGGACAUAAAAGUGCAAGCUUUUGCAAAAUCUCCCCUCCGAGGUCCACCUGGCCCCCUUUCAGAGAGACCUGGGAAUGACAGUGGGAAGCAGCCCAUGAGUUAUGUAUGAUGGGCUGUCUGUGUCCUGCCUGAGCGAGCUCAGCUCUCGCUGGUUCACGCAGCCCAGGAUCCUGAGGGCUCAGGAGGGAGGAUGGGAACCCUUUGGGGAAGCAUCCCUGACUCGUGAUUCUGCGAAGAGCUGCUGAUUGGAGAUGAGGCUCAGGGCUGUCGCAGGGAGGCUCGCUCUGGUAGAUGGGGCUGGGAAAUGGAGCCAGCCGGAGGUGGCAGGCUCGGAGCUUGGCACCCAGAUCUGCUGCUUCCCCUCUGCCCUCAGCGAAGCCCUUUACCAUCUUCCUCCAACUUAUUUUUCAGGCUGUAAUUGUACCAAACUGCAUGAAGGGGGGAAAAAUCCUGGCCCCCAUAGAGGGGCCAGGGAAGCGCCAUUCAGCCCUUCAACUCUGAAUGUGAAGCAGGUGAACAGGGAGCCACACCCACAGACACAGACCCACACUGCCCUGCUGGGUUUCACUGCCAACCAUGGGUCACAAUGGCAAAGUCAGAACAUCUUCAAGGUCAAAAUGACAGAGCCAGCAAAGCAGGGUCCGAAGGACAAGGUCAAAUCCUUUGCAUCUUCAGAGAUGAUACUGGUUUAGGUAGAAAUUAUUUAGGGCCUUUGGUGGCAGCACAGUGAGGAGAAUGUUGUAGAUUUCUCAAGGUCAUCUGACAGGUACCUCUCACAUGCCAGAUAUGCCUUGCUUUGGCUCCAGGCCAACAAGUGUGUGAGUCCUGCUCCAUCCCAGGUGUAGAUCUUGGGCAGGUGAGCUGACCUUGGUGGGCCACAGGUGGAGGGGACUUUGGUGAUGGGUUGUGCAUGCGUACUAGAUAGUGGCACAGUGCCUGCCCCAUGGGGAACAUUCACAAAAGGAUGUGCCAGCAACUGAGCAGAUGUUCUGUAUACAUUGUUUCCCAGGGUGGGGUCCUGGGCAAACUAGGAGUGGGUUAUUGCUCUCCCCUUCUAUUGUUUAUACUCCCACCUUCAAGCUGCUCCCCCCUCAGCCUGGCCUCUCGCUUUCCCUCCCCCGACUCAGCAGGAUUUUGCUCACCUGGAAUUCCACCAUCUCCCACGUUCCCUGCCCUCCGUGGAGGCAUGUUAGCCCCUCACCUCUCAUGUGUGCCUUGGAGCUUGAACACGCCCUCUCCUCUCUCCAGGUCCUUUACCUGCUUGGCCCACAGUAGGUGCUCAACACGUGUUUAUCCAGUGGAGAUGACUGAACAUGUGCUCAGAUUCCUUGUCAGUUUUUCAAUUCUAACUCACACAGGGGAGCUGGCGAAAUGCCCCAGAAAGCACGUCUGUGAUGGGGGCAGGGUGGACGGCCCCUCCUUGCAACACAACGGCUCCUACGUCCACUUCUCACUAAUCCGAUUGGCCCAUCCCUCAGCUACCAGGAUGCUCAUCUGGUUCAUUGCUUCGCCUCUAUCUUUCCAAGAUAGAACUGGGUGGAAAACGAUAAAUGUUCCUGAAUGAGCUUUGGGAUGCAGGGAGGGAUGGGAUUAAGUCCCCGGGAGUAAGCAAGGUGUCUACUGCAGAUCUUCCAGCUGCUGUCAAGAGGGCUGGCUCCAGCUUUGUGCCACAGGUGCCUCCCCAGGGCUUCAAAGCACAGGGACACUGGUUUGUAAUCCUCAGAUAACAAUGCAAGGCCCGCCCCAUUUCCACAUGCCCCAAUCCUGCCCAUUCCUCAAGGCACAGCUCCCACGCCCAUAGCACCCAGUAGGCAUUUAAUGAUGCCCCUGGUUCCAGAAGCCCUCCCUGGCUCCUGCCUUUUCUUUGGGGUCCCCUCAGUAGCUGCUCAGCUCCCCCUAGGGAGCCCCCUGGUAUAGCUUUGGGAAGUGGUACAGUGCGCCAGAGAGGCCGGGCCAUGAGUGACCAGCUUGGUGACCUGAGGAGUCCUCCAUGUGCUUCCACACUCAGUGCCUCCAUCUACACAAAGCCAUGCCACUCGGCUCUCUCUGGGUCGCAGGUGAAAAAACAUUGACCUAAACUGGUUUAAGCAAAAAGGAAACAUUGGCUCACAUGAGCAAAAUCUCCAGAGACAGAGCUGGUGUCAGGCCUGGCAGGACAGGGGUCAUUUGGUGUCCUUGGAACUGGCUUUCUAUGUCACCUUCAGCCAGGACUUCCCAUGGAAGCAGGAAGGCUGGGUCAACUGGAGCCCUAACUCCUUCCAAGCUGAGUCCCCAGUAGGCUACACUGGAGUCACCGUUUGGGUCACAUCGGAAUGGCUCAUUUGAAGGGUUAUAUGCCCACCCUGAGCCAACCCCUAUGGCAAAGUUAUGAAAUAUGUGAUUGGCUCAGACAUGGGGUGGAACAGGGGCCUAGGAAAUGCUCUGAGCCUCUGUAUAGAGGAGCUGUCUCCCUUGGUGACAUUGUGGAGCCUGCCACCAAAUCCUAAGAACCAGCAGGUACCUGAAACUCAUUCAGGUCUUGUCCUCAAUUUGAACCUAUUGGACAAUCCCAGAGCCCCAUGAGACAUGUACUGCUGGGGCUUCCCUUGAUCAAAGAGGGAGCUAAGGUGCACUUUUCAGGGCUUUUCCAAGGUCACCUUGGCUGGUGAGCAGUACAAGUUAUGAGUCCAGACAUGGCUGCCAGGUUUGCACUCUUACUUUCUUUUAUAAUCUAUUGUAAGAGGGAGACAGCCAAGAAACAAAUAUACAAGUAAACACCUAAUAUAAUGUAACAUAAUAUUUCAUGCCAGGAUAUACAAUAGAAUAUUCUGUAGCACAACAUGGUAUCGCAUCAUAUUGGGGCAGGCACUGGUAAGCAGUCCAUCUUUGUGUCCAUCCCAAGAGCAUUUAUUGUGAGUGUGGCUCAAGGAGGUGUGUGCCUGUUGGCUGGCUGGUGAAUAACUCAUUUUAUGUGCACAGUGUGAACCUUUGAUCGCAAAUCCUUGUUUCUUCCAUAGAAACAUCAUCAUUGUAUAUUAUAUAUUCAUCAUCAUUAUAUAUUAUAUAUUUCUGUGAUUGUUUCUAUCUCACAAGAAGAACAAAUGGUUAAAGUUCAAGGAAAAAGCAGGUGAGCUGGAAUUUCUAGAACUAUAGCUGUGGGUGUUUAAAGAUAUCGGACGGACCUGUGUCCCUGAGACUCUCUUCUUGGACACUCUUGGAGGAAACGAUCUGAGGAAAUCUGUUUGACAGGUAGAAAAGGAGGUAGGUGGCAAAUGCAAAUGUUAAAGAGCUUUUGAACUUAAUCUCCCCCUCCUCUCUUUUAAAAGCAUGCUCUGGAGUUUUGGGGAAUUUCCAUGACAGUCUCUAAAUUGGUGUUUGCACCACACAAGCAGGCAUUGGGCCUUUUGCAGGGUUUGGGCGAGUGUUCAAGUGCACAGGGUGAGCUGAGAGGUGGAGGUUUGGGGUUUUAUUAAUAAUGAAGCAUAGUCACCCUUCUGCCUUCUCAAGGCACGGAUACUAAGUGAGCAAAUAACCUUGAGCUCCUCUCCUCACUCUUGUCUCCCAACUUGCAGCCCAGCGAUACAUAAUUUAAUCAGAUCAUAAAGCAAUUAUAAAAAUGCCCUGAAAUGAUGUGCACACGUUCACAUCUGUAAUCAGAAUGGCUAACAUCUCCCUCCCUCCACCACCAUGGUGUAAUCCUGGUGUGAUUUCAGUUCCAUGGAGGUGACUAAGAGUCUAGUCAUUAAUGCAACGCCCACAAACUUUAUUGGAAUAUACCGUCAGAAAAAAAUCUGUUUUUAAAAACUGCACGGGCUGAAUGCAGCUGCAAGUGCCAGUCCCUCUUAGCCAUUGCACCGGCCGUUUUCAUUGUUGGAAACCCUUUCAAAACUGUGCACCAACGAGAGGUUGCUGUCCCUUUCCUACAUCUCAGGGAAGGUGCGUUUGGUAUAAAGUUAUUUGAUAGAGGAAUUAGGCUUCUAGAAGCUCUCAAAUUACUGCCUAGAUUUUCACCUUGCCAACAGUAUUGGGAUGAUUUGGUUGUGGUGAUGUUGAAGACGUGGAGAAGGAGGAAGAGGAAGAAGAGGAGGAGGAGGAGGAGUCUAUAGAACAUGCAUGAUCCAGCAGUGAUUCAAAUACAGAAUUUGGGAAAAUUUUGGCAAGACAAAUGCUCUAGUUUCUUCAAUAAAUAAGUGACCUGUAAAAAGAAGGAGGAGAAGAGAGACCUACCAGAGGUUUAAAGAGAUCUUCUUUUAGGUCUAAAAGAAGUUACUGGAACCCAGAGACGUUGCAACAGUCAUGUGAAAGCUGGCUGGCAGGGGAUGUGAGGGGCGUGUAUUAGUUCUCUCUUAUCUGUGGUUUUGCUUUCCCUAGUUUGUUAUUUGUGGUCAAAUGUAGUACAAAAAUAUUAAAUGGAAACUUGCAGAAAUGAAGCAUUCAUAAGUUUUAAGUUGCACACCAUUCUGAGUAGCAUUAGGAAAUCUUGAGCUAACCUUCUUCAGCCUACCCAGAAUGUGAGUCACUCUCUGUUUAGUGUAAUCAUGCUGUAUAGGCUACCUGCCCAUUAGUCACCUAAUAGCCAUCUUGGUUAGCAGAUCAAGUGUCUCAAUAUUGAGUACUUGUGUAUAGGGUUCAGGACUGGUUGCAGGUGUCCACUGGGGGAUUUGGAACAGAUACCCCUCAGAUAAAAGGUGGUAACAGCACUGUGUUUUUCAUCUGUCCCCCAAAGUACCUGUCAUUCCAGCAUGGUGACUGAGGUACCAUGCUGACUGAGGUACCCAAGCAGGUACUUCUUUUAUUUCUUAUUUUUUUUUUCUGGGGGUGUACCAGGGAUUGAACUCAGGGGCACUUGACCACUGAGACACAUCCCCAGCCCUAUUUUGUAUUUUAUUCAGAGAUAGGGUCUCACUGAGUUGCUUAGUGCCUCAUUUUGUUGAGGCUGGCUUUGAUCUUGUGAUCCUCCUGCCUCAGCUCCUGAGCCACUGGGAUUACAGGCGUGUGCGGCUGCACCUGGCUGGCGCUUCCUUGCUUGGGCUUCACUUUCAGCCUGGCUGACCCAGAAUUCCUCUGGGUAAAGCCCCUUCCUCCAGAGGCUUCUUUGACUGGUUCUCCCUCACCAAAUGAUGAUCCCCACCUGGCUGGCAGGGACCCUGGCAUGGCAUUUGUGAUUGGACAUUGUAAUUAUGUACAUAUUUCAAUGUUUACAAAUGGGAGGUAGCUGUAGAUUCACACUCACCAUAAAGAAUAACGCGCAGAUCCUGUGCACCUUGAGCCAACCUCUCCCAGAGCUGACACCUUACAUGACAGGAGUGAAAGAGCAGAGUUGGGAAGCCACGUGGUUACAAUCACUACCUUAUAUGAGUUUCACCAGGUUUACCUGCACUUGUUGUUAGUGUGUGUGUAUGUAUGUGCAUAUGUGUGUGUGUGUAUGCAUGUGUGUGUGAGCACCUUGCCCUCCAGGGAAUCUCAUCAUGUGUGUAGGUUUCUGGGACCACAGCCACCAAGUCAAGGUGCAGAGCAUUUCCAGCACAAGGGUUCCUUGUGAUGCCCUUCGAGGUUGUCUUUUAGCCUGCCUGCUUCUCCUGGGACUCUGAGUGUCUUCAAGCAGGGCCUUAGGUUCAGUCCUGGUGUCCUGGUCCGGUUAACGUUAGCCAGCGUCUGGCUCCCAAGUGAUUCUGUAUAAAUGCUUACGGAGUAGAUCCAGAUUCUGCCGCAGAAGGAGAGUAGGAAAUGAGAAUUCUUUUAGAUAAAUGUUGGUGGAAAGAGCAAGAAAAAAUAACCCCAGGCAUGGAGUACAAAGGAGGCGCAGUAUUGGGGCAUCUUUUCCCUCUGCAAAGGAUCGCCUAGAUCCUGGCAGCAACAAUGGGUUCGUACAAUCUUAACAAAGCACUUGCUCCUGUGGUCCAAAUGGAAACCUGCUUCCAGAGAGGUACAGAGUGCUUUGUGAGGUCAGAUAUGAACACCAAACUUUGAUUCUGUGGUCUCAGUUUGAUCCCUUCUGUAUCACUUUUCCAGGAACAUGGGGGCUCUGCAGCUAAUCCACUGGGACAUCUUGACCCAUGACCAGCUUUUCCUCCGCGACGCUUCACCUCAACAGGAGCCAGCCUCCCUGGGGCUCGUGGUGAUUCCAGCCAUGGGCCACAUCAGGCCUCGUAGGGACAGUGACUCGAGCAUUGAGUGUAUAGUAAGAGUCUUGGGUUUCUCAUCUCUAGACCACCUCAGGAUAGAUCUGGAAGGAGGGAUGCCUUCCCUCAUUGGCUCCUGGCCCCACUCUAAUGGCAGAGGUUUCAGAGAACAUCUUAGACCAGUGUGCUCCUCAGGUGCACAGUCAUGAACCUCAUCGAUGCAUGAUGCCUCCCCGAGACCUUGGGAUCCCUCGGAUUUGGUGAAUUAAGGAACAGCGAACUGUGUCAGAUGAUGUGGAAUUCCCCACCAGCCCACAUCUUGGAAGGGCAGUGACCGGCUGCCCAGAACUGACAUCACAGGGUCAGAUCUUCAUUGGUGGAAUCUCAUCACAUAUCAGGCUUUGUGGUGGGUAGUCUGUGGGGUAAGAGAAAAAAAGAGUCCUGUUUCCCAUCCACAUAUGAUUUCCUCUGUCCCUCCAUCCAUCAUCUCCCAUCCCUCCAUCUGUCUGUGCACUCAUCCAUCUAACAUCCUUCUGUCCCUCUGUCCACCUGCUCCUUCAUCUGUUCAUUCAUCCAUUUUUAUGUUCAUUCCCAUUUGGGUUUUUAGUAGCUCCAGGGGACGUGUGAAAAGACAUUGAGCAAGAGUAGCUUUUGGACUUCCUUGCAUUAUCGUCCAGACACUAAUGUGUUUUUGCUUCUUAGACACAACAAGAACGCCAGUCCUUUAGAAUACAUAUAGAACUGCUCAUUGGAGACAAGAGAAAAGUCACUUGUCCUGUGUUAACUAAGAAAUAAACUGGGAAAUAUGAAUAGAAAGUUGAGCUGUUGUGAACAGGAUGCUCUUUCUGCUUUCAUAGCACUUAAUAGAAUUUGUUUUCUAGUGUCCAGAAGCAAAAAUUUCAUGGGAUGGGUAUGUAUAUGUGUGUUUAUUUGUAUGUAUAGACAUAUACGUAUAUACACACACAUAUACAGAGAGAGGCAUAUGUGUAUGUGGGUCUAUAUAUUAUUAUAUAUCUAUCUUCACUGGCAUCUGUUGAGAUCUCGGGGGCAUCUACUCAUAUC